rnacentral:rRNA from 1 species
UAGGGAAUCUUCCGCAAUGGGCGAAAGCCUGACGGAGCAACGCCGCGUGAGUGAUGAAGGUCUUCGGAUCGUAAAACUCUGUUAUUAGGGAAGAACAAAUGUGUAAGUAACUAUGCACGUCUUGACGGUACCUAAUCAGAAAGCCACGGCUAACUACGUGCCAGCAGCCGCGGUAAUACGUAGGUGGCAAGCGUUAUCCGGAAUUAUUGGGCGUAAAGCGCGCGUAGGCGGUUUUUUAAGUCUGAUGUGAAAGCCCACGGCUCAACCGUGGAGGGUCAUUGGAAACUGGAAAACUUGAGUGCAGAAGAGGAAAGUAGAAUUCCAUGUGUAGCGGUGAAAUGCGCAGAGGUAUGGAGGAACAGCAGUGGCUAAGGCGAGUUUCUGGUCUGUAACUGACGCUGAUGUGCGAAAGCGUGGGGAUCAAACAGG